rnacentral:rRNA from 1 species
CCUACGGGAGGCAGCAGUGGGGAAUCUUGCGCAAUGGGCGAAAGCCUGACGCAGCAACGCCGCGUGCGGGAAGAAGGCUUUCGGGCUGUAAACCGCUUUCAGCAGGAACGAAAAUGACGGCACCUGCAGAAGAAGGAGCGGCCAACUAUGUGCCAGCAGCCGCGGUGAUACAUAGGCUUCAAGCGUUGUCCGGAUUUAUUGGGCGUAAAGAGUUCGUAGGCGGUCGAGUAAGUCGGGUGUGAAAAUUCUGGGCUCAACCCAGAGACGCCACCCGAUACUGCUUGACUUGAGUUCGAUAGGGGAGUGGGGAAUUCCUAGUGUAGCGGUGAAAUGCGCAGAUAUUAGGAGGAACACCGGUGGCGAAGGCGCCACUCUGGAUCGAUACUGACGCUGAGGAACGAAAGCAUGGGUAGCAAACAGGAUUAGAUACCCUGGUAGUCCAUGCCGUAAACGGUGGGCACUAGGUGUGGGUUUCUAUUAACGAAAUCCGCGCCGUCGCUAACGCAUUAAGUGCCCCGCCUGGGGAGUACGGUCGCAAGACUAAAACUCAAAUGAAUUGACGG